rnacentral:rRNA from 1 species
UACGAGGGGGGCAAGCGUUGUUCGGAAUUAUUGGGCGUAAAGGGUGUGUAGGUGGCGCGCUAAGUCGGGUGUGAAAUUUCGGAGCUUAACUCCGAAACUGCAUUCGAUACUGGCGUGCUUGAGGACUGGAGAGGAGACUGGAAUUCAUGGUGUAGCAGUGAAAUGCGUAGAGAUCAUGAGGAAGACCAGUGGCGAAGGCGGGUCUCUGGACAGUUCCUGACACUGAGGUGCGAAAGCGUGGGGAGCAAACAGG